AUUGAACGCUGGCGGCAUGCUUUACACAUGCAAGUCGAACGGCAGCACGGGUGCUUGCACCUGGUGGCGAGUGGCGAACGGGUGAGUAAUGCAUCGGAACGUGCCCAUGAGUGGGGAGUAGCCCGGCGAAAGACCGGAUUAAUACCGCAUACGCCCUUAGGGGGAAAGGACGGGGAGUCUUCGGACCUCGCGCUAUUGGAGCGGCCGAUGUCGGAUUAGCUAGUAGGUGAGGUAAAGGACUCACCUAGGCGACGAUCCGUAGCUGGUCUGAGAGGAUGAUCAGCCACACUGGGACUGAGACACGGCCCAGACUCCUACGGGAGGCAGCAGUGGGGAAGUUUUGGUACAAUGGGCGGCAAGCCUGAUCCAGCCAUGCCGCGUGAGUGAAGAAGGCCUC
rnacentral:rRNA from 1 species